rnacentral:rRNA from 1 species
UAAGACGAACCGUACGAACGUUAUUCGGAAUCACUGGGCUUAAAGGGUGCGUAGGCGGCGAUAAAAGUUGGGUGUGAAAUCCCUCGGCUCAACCGAGGAACUGCGCCCAAAACUGUAUUGCUCGAGGGAGAUAGAGGUGAGCGGAACUUAGGGUGGAGCGGUGAAAUGCGUUGAUAUCCUAAGGAACGCCAGGGGCGAAAGCGGCUCACUGGAUCUCUUCUGACGCUGAGGCACGAAAGCUAGGGUAGCGAACGGGAUUAGAUACCCCGGUAGUCCUAGCCGUAAACGAUGAGUACUAGAUGGAAGGGUCCUCCAUAGCCUUUCCAUCGAAGCGAAAGUGUUUAGUACUCCGCCUGGGGAGUAUGGUCGCAAGGCUG